UACGGAGGGUGCGAGCGUUGUCCGGAAUCACUGGGCGUAAAGGGCGCGUAGGUGGCUUGGCAAGCGUGUGGUGAAAGCCCGGGGCUCAACCCCGGGUCUGCCGUGCGAACUGCUAUGGCUUGAGCACUGUAGAGGCAGGUAGAAUUCCGGGUGUAGCGGUGGAAUGCGUAGAGAUCCGGAAGAACAUCAGUGGCGAAGGCGGCCUGCUGGGCUGUUGCUGACGCUGAGGCGCGAAAGCGUGGGUAGCAAACGGG
rnacentral:rRNA from 1 species